AUUGAACGCUGGCGGCAGGCCUAACACAUGCAAGUCGAGCGGAUGAAGGGAGCUUGCUCCUGGAUUCAGCGGCGGACGGGUGAGUAAUGCCUAGGAAUCUGCCUGGUAGUGGGGGAUAACGUCCGGAAACGGGCGCUAAUACCGCAUACGUCCUGAGGGAGAAAGUGGGGGAUCUUCGGACCUCACGCUAUCAGAUGAGCCUAGGUCGGAUUAGCUAGUUGGUGGGGUAAAGGCCUACCAAGGCGACGAUCCGUAACUGGUCUGAGAGGAUGAUCAGUCACACUGGAACUGAGACACGGUACCGACUCCUACGGGAGGAAGCAGUGGGGAAUAUUGGACAAUGGGCGAAAGCCUGAUCCAGCCCUGCCGCGUGUGUGCAGAAGGUCUUCGGCUUGUAAAGUACUUUAAGUUGGGAGGAAGGGCAGUAAGUUAAUACCUUGCUGUUUUGACGUUACCAACAGAAUAAGCACCGGCUAACUUCGUG
rnacentral:rRNA from 1 species